AUACGCCCGAUUUGUUCUUGUCGUCUAGGUGGUCUUUGUCGUUCCUUGGGUAUGGGAGGACUGUGGGGCCUCUUUUGGGAGCUGGUUUUGUUUGUGAUGCUUUCGCUGUUUUCUCUACAACGGGCAUCUUGGUUGGGUGGAGCGGUAGGGCAGCAUGUUUUUCGUUAUCUUUUUCUUCUGGGGUCUCAUGUGCUGCCAGAUUGUCUCUGUUUGGUUGUGCUGGUUGCUUCAUUAUGUUUUUAACAUUGCGUCUUGUCGACUGGAUGGGUCCUUUGGUGUAUCCGUGUUUGGUCCCUGUGGUAAUUAUGUGGUUUGUCUCCUCAAGAUGGUCUUCUUCAUUCGUGCAGUAUUGGUGCGCUCUUUUAAAAAAUGAUCUGGGAGCGGCUUUUUUGUGUCUGAUGGGGUCGUUCGACCGGUUGGGGAUGGUGGCCGGGUGGUGGGUGGGCUUUC
rnacentral:lncRNA from 1 species